UUGCUUUCAUUUUACUUUUGCCUCAGUAUUUGAACUGUCCACCUUAUUGUCACGUCUUGUCGUCUUUGUGACUUGGUGUGCAUUGGCUGAAUAGUAUGGGCAUGAUAAAAAAGUUAUUUGUCGAAGAAUUCAGUAAGACGCCAACGCGAUACAAAGUUUUACGGUUAUUUCUUGGUGCGGUUGCUGCCGUCUUUGUUGCCUGGGGUAUCUAUGCAAUCGUCAGAAACAGGCUCGCUGCGUCAAAUCUCACCUAGAGACGAGUUCGUGUUUCGUGUUUGUUCCUAUAUCAACCCUAUCAACACACCUGUGCCUGUGGCUGCUGCAUGUGUACAUAUGGAAGCAAAAGCGAUUGAACUAAAUAGCACAAUGCCGCAAGAGACGAACAUCAUGGCCAUCAAUAUGCAUUUCUUCAAAAGGUGCGAGGGAAGGUCGGUGCCAUCGACUUCAAAAACCGUGCGCGCAUCACCCUAAGGAGGCAGCUGCGAGGCGACGCGAGCCACCGGCACCAGCGUCUACAGCCGCCGCAAAAGCGCGCUGUGUUUUCGACCGGCGUGCAUUUUCCUAUAGAGUGGAACGACCUACCACCUGAGCUUAAGGACUGCACCGUUGCUGAAUUUCCCUCCCUCUAUAAGAAGCACCUCUGGCAAGUAUGCAGUGAACGUGAUCAGUGAUAUACAAAGUAUUUUGCGACUCAGUGCGGCGUGAUAUCCCCAGUGAGAUGGAUCGUUUAAGCAAUUUUUCGCUAACACUGUUUGCCCUUCCUUGCUAUGUUUGACCUGAUAAUUUAUUGUAUCUUAUUAUAUUU